rnacentral:rRNA from 1 species
AUUGAACGCUGGCGGCGUGCUUAACACAUGCAAGUCGAUCGGUAACAGGUGUAGCAAUACAUGCUGACGAGAGGCGGACGGGUGAGUAAUGCUUGGGAAUCUGCCUAUUAGUGGGGGACAACCCGGGGAAACUCGGGCUAAUACCGCAUACGCUCUACGGAGGAAAGCCGGGGACCGCAAGGCCUGGCGCUAAUAGAUGAGCCCAAGUCGGAUUAGCUAGUUGGUAGGGUAACGGCCUACCAAGGCGACAAUCCGUAGCUGGUCUGAGAGGACGACCAGCCACACCGGAACUGAGACACGGUCCGGACUCCUACGGGAGGCAGCAGUGGGGAAUAUUGGACAAUGGGGGCAACCCUGAUCCAGCGACGCCGCGUGGGUGAAGAAGGCCUGCGGGUUGUAAAGCCCUUUCGGUGGGGAAGAAAAGUCUCGACCUAAUACGUCGGGACCUUGACGUAACCCACUAAAGAAGCACCGGCUAACUCUGUGCCAGCCGCCGCGGUAAU